rnacentral:ncRNA from 3 species
AAGCUUGUGUCUAUAGGUAUG